UCUCUGUCCUCUCGGUCCCCUCAGUCUGGACAAGCAUGUUCAGAGACUGCAGAGCAGAGUAGGGUGCCUGUCCGUCCAACAUGGUCUCAGCUAUGAGCACUGCACAUCCUAAGGCCCAAAAGAAGAUAUUGUUUGUGUCCAAGACUUUAGUGUAUGAGAAAA